AGAGUUUGAUCCUGGCUCAGGAUGAACGCUAGCUACAGGCUUAACACAUGCAAGUCGAGGGGCAGCAUGGUCUUAGCUUGCUAAGGCCGAUGGCGACCGGCGCACGGGUGAGUAACACGUAUCCAACCUGCCGUCUACUCUUGGACAGCCUUCUGAAAGGAAGAUUAAUACAAGAUGGCAUCAUGAGUCCGCAUGUUCACAUGAUUAAAGGUAUUCCGGUAGACGAUGGGGAUGCGUUCCAUUAGAUAGUAGGCGGGGUAACGGCCCACCUAGUCUUCGAUGGAUAGGGGUUCUGAGAGGAAGGUCCCCCACAUUGGAACUGAGACACGGUCCAAACUCCUACGGGAGGCAGCAGUGAGGAAUAUUGGUCAAUGGGCGAGAGCCUGAACCAGCCAAGUAGCGUGAAGGAUGACUGCCCUAUGGGUUGUAAACUUCUUUUAUAAAGGAAUAAAGUCGGGUAUGUAUACCCGUUUGCAUGUACUUUAUGAAUAAGGAUCGGCUAACUCCGUGCCAGCAGCCGCGGUAAUACGGAGGAUCCGAGCGUUAUCCGGAUUUAUUGGGUUUAAAGGGAGCGUAGAUGGAUGUUUAAGUCAGUUGUGAAAGUUUGCGGCUCAACCGUAAAAUUGCAGUUGAUACUGGAUAUCUUGAGUGCAGUUGAGGCAGGCGGAAUUCGUGGUGUAGCGGUGAAAUGCUUAGAUAUCACGAAGAACUCCGAUUGCGAAGGCAGCCUGCUAAGCUGCAACUGACAUUGAGGCUCGAAAGUGUGGGUAUCAAACAGGAUUAGAUACCCUGGUAGUCCACACGGUAAACGAUGAAUACUCGCUGUUUGCGAUAUACUGCAAGCGGCCAAGCGAAAGCGUUAAGUAUUCCACCUGGGGAGUACGCCGGCAACGGUGAAACUCAAAGGAAUUGACGGGGGCCCGCACAAGCGGAGGAACAUGUGGUUUAAUUCGAUGAUACGCGAGGAACCUUACCCGGGCUU
rnacentral:rRNA from 1 species